GCCAGAGUGGCAUAGUGGUUUGAAUGUUGGACUACAAUUCUGGAGACCAGGGUUUGAUACCCAGCUCAGCCA